rnacentral:rRNA from 1 species
UACGUAGGGUGCGAGCGUUGUCGGGAAUUAUUGGGCGUAAAGGGCUCGUAGGCGGUCUGUCGCGUCGGGCGUGAAAACUCAGGGCUUAACCCUGAGCCUGCUCCCGAUACGGGCAGACUAGAGGUAUGCAGGGGAGAACGGAAUUCCUGGUGUAGCGGUGAAAUGCGCAGAUAUCAGGAGGAACACCGGUGGCGAAGGCGGUUCUCUGGGCAUUACCUGACGCUGAGGAGCGAAAGUGUGGGGAGCGAACAGG